rnacentral:SRP_RNA from 1 species
GCUGGGUGUGGUGGCUCACACCUGUAAUCCCAGUACUUUGGGAGGCCGAGGCAGGAGGAUUGCCUGAGCUCAGGAGUCCGAGACCAGCCUGGGAAACAUGGCAAAACCCUGUCUCUA